GGAGAAUUGCUUGAGCCUGGGAGAUGGAGGUUGCAGUAAGCUGAGAUCGCGCCACUGCACUCCAGCCUGGGCCACAGAG
rnacentral:miRNA from 1 species